rnacentral:lncRNA from 1 species
UUUCUCCUCCUUUAUUUUUACUAAUGAAUUGGCCAUUGAUAUACAAAUAGUGGGUAGACAGGCUCUCAUUUCUCAACUAGUUUGAUAGAAAUUAAAUUAAAAAUUAUUCCUGUGGAACAAUGCUCACUGCCUACUUCUGAUUCAUUAGGAAAACACAUCCUAUUUUGAAGCCAGCGUUUCGAAAGACAUUUGAAGUUCCAUUUCAAGGACUACGCAUCAGAAGCACUCCUUAUGAAUUCACACACACAGACACACACACACGCACACAAACUGACAAGGCAGCACUGCUGACAGGCUAUUAAGGGAAACUGGCUAUAGCUAGUAUUUGUUGAAAUGAUCAUUAAUUGGCUUAAAUGCUGGCAACAUCAGAUAUGUAAACAUCCACACUGUUUGAACAUUUUUUGUACAUCAAAGGAUUUUCAAGUGCUUCUGUCUGGCUUGCAUUUGCUAACAUUGCAGCAGCAACAGCACUGGAGUAGUUGAAAAGGGUUGCAUUAAUCAUUUGUAAAAUGAGAGGGCAGAACAAGACUAUGCUUUCUUAAGCAGGAAUACAUGAGCCAUGGAUGGCUUCAGGGUCUCUGGAUCCUAUGAAGCCAUCAAACAAAUUUUGCAUAUAGGCAUAUUCAUUUUUCUAGGGAUAAACUUUACAUCUUUUCUAAGAUUCUCAAAAAGGUCCAGAACCACCAAAUGGUUUAAAAAAUCACAGACUGGAUUAUUGUAAAGGCUUUUUCCAGCUCUAAGACUCUAAAGAAAAUCAAUGUUUUAGUUCCUUAGGGAGUCUAACCUGGAUGGGUCAUUGACUUCAUUUGGUUUGUCAAAGCCACAGUCAAGUGCUCCCUCUAUACCACCCCCUCUUCCCAACAAAAUAUGCCCAAAUUGUGCCAUUUUUCACUUUGUACAAACAAGACUAUUUUCCCCCCAAACAGCAUGAUUUAACUUGUUUUAAUGUAGUCUGUUAUAAAAAUGAAGACUUCUGCAUGGUGUAUUUGGCUUUACAAACGUUAAUGCCUAGUUAAUGCUUGUGUUAUAUGGUACACAUCAUUACAAUCUGUUGGCCGGUAACAGCUUUUGCAACAUGGGUUAAUACUAAAAUUGUGAAUCAUGGAACUUUUACUUAGCACACACACACAAUCUACAGCAAACUUAAAUACUAAUCUAUAAUACCUAACUGGGUUAUUGGAUCCAUUGCAAGAUUGUGCUUAUUUAUCUCAGAAGAUAGGCAACUAGCAAAAAUACACAUUUCUUUUGCAUAUCCCCACCCCCAUAUUACACUGUAAAAGAAAUGCAUUAUUCAGUGCACUUCCUAAGAAAUAAACUUCCUUAUAGUAUCUCUCUCUAUAUAUAUCUAUCCCCAAACAAAGGAAGAGCACAAUGCAACUUUUAAGAUUACCAUUUAAAGCAAAAGAGACAAUAACUCUCUGGCACUGUAGCCUCCUCUCCAGUUUAGAAAGUUUAACUAUUUUAUCAACACUAUUGGCUCUGCAUAGGAAUAAAGUUCAAUGCAUGAUUGUUUUGGACAGUUUAAGAUACCCCCUACAUCAUUUUGAUAGACACCUUGGGGCAUUAGUAGCAUUUUCAUUUUUCACGUAUUUGCCUUU